rnacentral:piRNA from 1 species
UGAGAAAGUUACAGAAUAUUGGGUUGUC